AGGUUAGGGUUGCAGGACGUAUGCUUCAUCUUUCUUUCUUUUUUCUCUCUUUCCCGAUCCAAACGUCUCUUUCCUUUCGUUGUGGUAUUUCGGUAUAAUUGUAUUAAUAGUACGAUUGUCUACGAUUUGUAUGACAGGUUUUCAAAGGGGGUUGCUUCUCAGAGAAAUAGUAGGAAGAAAUAAAAGAUAUGGAGAGUUAUUCUUUUCUAGUUUUGUAUCUGUCACCAUCGACCGAAUUUCGACCAUUUGUAAUUCCAGCACAUCCGGCAUCAUUUUGUUGUGCUUGUUCAUAAGCCCUGUGGCCUGAAGGGAAUUUGAUGCAUCUUUUUAUCUGUUUUCUCUUGACAUGCGUCCUCGAGUAGUGGGAUGGGAAAAAUGAUGAGAGUUUUGUUGUCUUUAAAGAUUACCCUUCAUAAAUUAAAAUUGAUAGAUUCUGUUUCGUAGUUUUCUUUGCAUCCCCAUUAAUUAAAUAAAACACUCGAU
rnacentral:lncRNA from 1 species